rnacentral:rRNA from 1 species
UACGAAGGGGGCUAGCGUUGUUCGGAAUUACUGGGCGUAAAGCGUGCGCAGGCGGCUUCUCAAGUCAGGGGUGAAAGCCCCGGGCUCAACCUGGGAAUUGCAUUUGAGACUGCGUAGCUAGGGUGCGGAAGAGGGAAGCGGAAUUUCCGGUGUAGCGGUGAAAUGCGUAGAUAUCAGGAGGAAUACCGAUGGCGAAGGCAGGUCUCUGGGCUGACACUGACGCUCAUGCACGAAAGCGUGGGGAGCAAACAGG